GGUGGAAGGAAUCGCGCGAGAUGUGGCUCCUUCCUGCGGGCAGGGAGCCGAAGCGCUGGGCGUGCGGGCGGUGCGUGGGGCGUGCCCUCCGCUCUGAGCCGGCGCGCGGAAUCUCCGUCUGAGGUCGGAGGUCUUUGAGAGGCAGGGAUGGGGGAUAAGACAUUAUAGGAGUAAGGGAGCAUUUUGAGUUUCAGUGAAAGAAAGCUUCUUCAGGAUUAACCAGCCCAGCCUCCUCACUUGGUAGACUGAUGGGAUUUGAGUUUCAGUGAAAGAAAGCUUCUUCAGGAUUAACCAGCCCAGCCUCCUCACUUGGUAGACUGAUGGGAAAAGAGGCGCCGCUGACCCUGGUACUACUCUGGCUAACUGUACUAAAGGGCCAGGAAAGAUGGGAGAACCCGCUGGAAACGCAGAUGCCACGCCCCUGGUUAACAGCCACACACGGAUAUUCACAAGUUUACUAAUACCUUCUCAAACUUACAACACCUAAAAAAGCUUCUGCUUUCCAGGGAGAGGGUAAGGAAUGCCACAGUUGUCCCAUUCUCUAGGAUCUUGUCAGAUGACUAGCUAAUAUCAUAGACUAAUAAUAGGAGCUAGCAUUUACUGAGCUCUUACUGCUUCUAGGUAGGGUUGUAAGCAUUUUACAAGUGUAAUCCCAUUUAGUCCUCACCACAACUUGAAGUACAGACUAUAGUUCUCCCUAUUUGGAGAGGUAAAAUGACUUCUCCAAAGUCAUGCUAUCAGCAAGUGAUGGAGCAAACAUGGUGUCUGUCUUCAGAGCCUGCAGAAAACUGUUGGAUUCUCAUAUUUGCUUCUGCAUUCAAACUGUUACAACUUUAGUUUUGGUUGAAGUAUAUGAAGAAAACCCAGCUUCCCUCAACUAUGAGUUGGAGAAGGAAGAAGUAUUUUAACAGCCUCUUCAGAUAAUUAUGGCUAUUCUUCUUAAUGCUACAUUAAAAUUCAACAAAUGGUGGCUUCUUAAAGGUUCGUUGCAAUAUGGAAUCCAAAAACAUGUCAGUGAAUAUUUUGUAUUCUAAUACAUUAAAAUCCAUUGGUCUGUCUUGCACUUUGAAUGGAUCUUUUACCUAUACAUGAUUUAUGACAUCAAGCAUUGGUUAUUUGGAAAAUAUCAGUUCACUGUGCUAUUAAGUCUUCCAAAUGUUAACACAUUUCAUUAUACUAUAUAUACAUUUUUAA